AUUGAACGCUGGCGGUAGGCCUAACACAUGCAAGUCGAACGCGAAAGUCCUUCGGGAUGAGUAGAGUGGCGGACGGGUGAGUAACGCGUAGGAAUCUAUCCUGUAGUGGGGGAUAACGUUUCGAAAGGAACGCUAAUACCGCAUACGCCCCAACGGGGGAAAGGCGGGGGAGUCUUCGGACCUCGUGCUAUAGGAGGAGCCUGCGUCGGAUUAGCUAGUUGGUGAGGUAAAGGCUCACCAAGGCGACGAUCCGUAGCUGGUCUGAGAGGAUGAUCAGCCACACCGGAACUGAGACACGGUCCGGACUCCUACGGGAGGCAGCAGUGGGGAAUAUUGCGCAAUGGCGAAAGCCUGACGCAGCCAUACCGCGUGUGUGAAGAAGG
rnacentral:rRNA from 1 species